GGGAAUCUUAGACAAUGGGGGAAACCCUGAUCUAGCCAUGCCGCGUGGACGAUGAAGGCCUUAGGGUUGUAAAGUCCUUUCGCUGAGGAAGAUAAUGACGGUACUCAGUAAAGAAGCCCCGGCUAACUCCGUGCCAGCAGCCGCGGUAAUACGGAGGGGGCUAGCGUUGUUCGGAAUUACUGGGCGUAAAGCGCACGUAGGCGGAUUGGAAAGUUGGAGGUGAAAUCCCAGGGCUCAACCUUGGAACUGCCUUCAAAACUAUCAGUCUAGAGUUCGAGAGAGGUGAGUGGAAUUCCGAGUGUAGAGGUGAAAUUCGUAGAUAUUCGGAGGAACACCAGUGGCGAAGGCGGCUCACUGGCUCGAUACUGACGCUGAGGUGCGAAAGCGUGGGGAGCAAA
rnacentral:rRNA from 1 species